ACCCUGGGCUUCAGUGCAGCCUGACACGAAGGGAGGGUAGGGCAGGAACGGUGCAGGGCCAAGGCUGUCAGAGCACAAGCACUUGGAGCUGCAAUCAUGUGCAUAAAAGGCUUCAGAGGCUGAAUUGCACUGCAUUGCUCAAAAUACAUUUAGAUCCUCUGGGUACAGCAGGAUUUUCAAGGUCUACAACCACGUGUAGUGAAAGAUGUGAUAAAUGCUGAAGUGGUUUCCUAAGUGAAAUGAGGAAAACGAAAAUGAUACCAGUGCUGAUGAAGCUGCCUGAGAACUAGCACUGAAGAUAUAUCCUUGACAUUUUCGGGUGCUGAACAUUUAUCAGAG